rnacentral:sRNA from 1 species
GCACUGGCAAAAUCCAGUGCCGGGAUUGGCGUCCCGGAUUACUAGUAGGCGCAUACCACGCCAGACGUGGUUUUUUU